ensembl:lncRNA
AUCCAUGUGUGUUAGUCUUGGCUCCCUCGAAUGGAUCUUAAGCUUCUUGAGGGCAGGGCCCUUGACUUGCAAUUACAUGAAGAGACGGUCCCUGUGGAAAGAGCUCUGGAGAGGAAUUCAGGACACCUGUGUUUAGUCUUUUCUCAUUCACAGUAUGAGCUUGGUAAGGAAAUGGAGGGGUCCAAGAUGCUAGGUAACUUAUCCACUGAAUCCAGAGCCCAAACUCUUGCCAACUUUGUUGUAGGGCUUCUCCACAGGGCCAGCUGGGUGAAGAAACUGAGGCCCAGAAAGGUGCUAGCAGCAAUAGUGGUCCUCUCUGAUUUUCAGUUUUUCGAAGACCACUGCAAUUCGCAAGUAGAUCCUGCAUUUGGAAUUUGCCAGAGUCACUUUGGAAGUUCCCGGGGCAGCACCAUAGGUACUGGGCUCCCAGGCCUUUGUGGGAUCCAAGACCCUGAGGCUAAACAUGAGAUAGACCCAGAGCUCCCACCCUGGCCCCAUUGGAAAACAAACUCCUCUGCCUCCUACUUGCAGUGCUGAAAAGUGGUAGAGGUUUUGAAUCAAAUCUUUGUAAAUACCAAAUUUUAGCCGAAUCACCUUCCCUCCGGGGCCAUUACAAGAUGCCAAAUUCAACUGUCUCAUUUCCUUUCAAGCCCAUGUUUUUCCCAGGGUGGUAUUUCAUGGUUAUUAUUCUUUGCCCUGCUCUUAAUGAGAGAAACAGGUAGUGAUCUGCAUACUCUAGUUGAUAAUGCUUCCUAAUAAUAUUGUAAUCUGAGUUUAUAUAAUAUGUAAUCUGAAGGGUGUGGAGGGAUCUGUGUCUAAGAAAAGAGUAUUGCCUCCCUGCCUCUGUGACAAAUAAAGGAUUUUAGUCUGAUUCAUAACCUUUUACAAACAGCUCCAUCUUGACCAGACCAUUGUAUUUGGUGACCUAUUCAAUUUAUUAAUGUUUCACAUUGGGCCUAAGUGCCUACAAUGGGAAAAUGACAACAAGUGAGUACCAGUGACCUCAUUAACUUGGCUAACGCUGCUAAACGGAUGGCUUGGCAUUAUGAAAGUUUGCCCCAUGGAAAUCCUUCUGUCUGGGGACAAAGAUAGUAAGACACAACCUUACUAUUAGCUGCUGCAGAGAUUUAUAUGUUCUGUUGCUUUGUUCAUUUGCAUACAUCCAAUGCCUUUUCUUUUAUAAGUACUAACUUUUGUGCCCAAAUGACACCACCCUGUAAAUGGGAUUCAUCUUUGGCUCAAUUUGCCUAUCAGCACAAAUCUGUAAUGCUUUAGGAAGUAGAGUGUUUCAUGGUUCAGUUUCGGGAACCAGAAACCAUUCUAGCUCUUUUAAGAAGAGAUUUAACUAUAGGGCAUUUGUCCUUAUAAAAUUGGAGUUCUGAGCUCAAUAUUGGGCCUGCAGGAGUAACUCCCGGAGCAAUGCCGCUGAACUGGCCUGAAAUUUUAGCUGCUGCUUGAUCAGGAAGGUGGGGGGAUCAGGAGGCUGCCAUGGAACUGUGGAAUUCAAGAGCUCACACAAUAGCCUCACAAAGCUAGUGACUAGACACUGGAACUCUGCCACAGAAAAGCUAAUAUCUCCCCUCCCCAACUCUACGAGAGCAGGGUGAUUGCCCUCACCUCCCUUGGACCUUCCAGAUCUCAUGUGAUUGCGUCUACUUGGUGGGUCCUGAUUCCAGAACUCCUCCUGCAAGGGAAUGGAAAGAUGUUUUUUAGCUUUCUGGUCUCUGUACUACUGGAAUGCACAUUAGAGGGUAGUUGGAAUGGAUGUUGACUGCUAAUUCACCAUUUCCAUCUCACAGCCUGAAGAAGCAAAAUGUGUAACAGGAUAGGAAAUCCGUGGGUUCUCUUUCUCUUCCUGAUGCCCUUUGAUUUUCACUUAGACAAGUGAAUUUUUUUUCACUAAUGUAGUAAAAAUAAUGAUGAUUCUACAGUAUUUUUCUACUAUUUGUCUGAAAUAGCUUGGCACCUUCACAGCCCUUUCCCAGGUGUUGAUUGAAGAUAUAAUCUGAGUCUCUGAGAUUCUCCAUUCUUUCAUCUUCUGUUCUAACUAGUUGCUUCUGACUUCUCCAUUGGCUCCCCUUUGUUUCUUUCUCACUCAGUGCCCAUUCCCCUCAAAUUAUUGUUUUGGCAGCAUUGUGUUGCUUGGCCUGAGUUUUCUUUCUGGAAGCUAUUUUGGGAUCUUCCUUGUUCUUAGGCUCAGGAACCAGAGGAAGCCUUAAGCAAAUGCCCACCCCUCUUCUUCUAACCCCAUCCUUGGUGUGUCACUUGGACCACUAGUCAUCCAGGAGGGAGCUGGGCCAGUAAUAGUUAUGUUACUGAAAUGCUCUUAAAAUUUUUUGUUAGAAAAAUUCAAACAGAGUUAGAUAUGUAAGUUGAUCAAAUGGCAACAUCUAAGGGUUGCAUUCAUUUCCCAUUGCUAAGCUGCCCUGACCUUGCUAGAAUUGGCACCUAGCAUAGUCAGAGUAAGCAUACAAUAUUGGUUGAAUUAAUUACGGAAUUUAAUGGCCAUGAAGCCACAUGUUCAAAACUCAUUCAAGUAUUUUGAUAGGUAAGAAUUCUGCUUUAAGUUUAUGCAUCUUCCUUUGGAAUACAAACCUUACAGAGUGCUGUGCUAUCAAGCUAUCUGACUAUACAGUGUGGCUUAAUUACCAAAGGGAGCGAUUAAGCUACGUGUCAGAGCUCUUCAGGUAAUUGAUUGAAUCACACAGCUGAAAGGCCUGGGACAAUCUUCAAGAGCAGCUCAUCAGGGAUCAUAUGGUGUCAUUAGAACCUGUCUUCCUUUCACCUCCAAUGGCUAUAUGCCUACCUUCUGCUUUGUUCAAUUCAUUGUCAGGCUAUACAUGAUGGCUUCAAGCAACUACAAAAACACAUGAACCCAAUAUCAAAUCCAGUGGGAGGGCCUGGCCCCAUGGCCCAGUGGUUGGGUUCCCGGCGCUCUGAUUCGGUGGCCCAGGCUUUCGCCAGUUUGAGUCCUGGGCGUGGACAUGGCACCUCUCAUUGGGCCAUGGCAGCAUCCCGCAUGCCACGGCUGGAGGGACCCACAACUGGAAAUACACAGCUGUGUACCAAGGGGCUUUGGGACAAAAAGGAAAAAUAAAAUCUUUUAAAGAAAUUUAAAAAGAUCCAGUGGGAAAGAGAGUUCACUUUCCCCAUAGUACAAACAGAAGUCUAAGACCUGAACCUCCUUAGCCCUGAUUGGCUUGAUUUAGGUCAUGUGCCCAUCUAGGAACCUAUCAGUGGCUGGGGGGAUGGAUGCUCUGACUUAGUCUUGGUCUUAAACUCAACCCUUGAAUCCAGAGAUAGAAUCAGCUUUUUCAUUGAAGGAUUGAGAAUGGGGCUGGAGUGGGUCCUCAAAUGGAAAUUUAGGAAUUGUUAUCACAGGAGAAAAAGUAGAUAGAUGCUAGACAGCAAAGCAACACAUGUCUACCACAAGCAGAAAGCAAGAUAUCUAUACCAAGAAGAUUGUGUCCCUAGAAACUUAUAGAGGAUAUGAAGUCAAGAACCAUCCUGAAAUUUCUGGCUGUGUUUCAGUGUUCUGAGCCACAGGUCCAACUGACUCUCUGAAAGCAAUUUUUUUUUUUUUUUUUUUGUCGUGAAAUAAAUAAAAGAAAAACUGAGAGCCAGCUUUAGGGACAUGAAUCUAGAGUCACACUGAAAUGGACCAUGAUGGAAUACACCCUGUGGUUCUCAGGAAUGAUGCAAGACUCUGGGUACUAUUUGUCUGGAUUUCUGUUUUUAAUUUAAACUUGAUGUAAUGCUUAAAAAGAAAAAAUUUCAAACAUACACAAAUGUAGUGAGAUGGUACAAUGAACCCACCCAAAUUAAAUCACUGUCUAGAUUUUGUCCUUUUUUUCAUCUAUUGUCUCCCUUUUUCCUCUUUGCUGAAAUAUUUUAAAGCAAAUCUCAGAUUUCAUUUCAUUUUACCCCUGUACACCUCAGUAUCAAAUAUUCUUUUUUAAUAACCUUAUUUUGUUAUUGUUAUUUAAUACAGCUGGGAAGCAUUCAGCUAUAAAUCCAAAUAUUCUUGAGCAUCAGGAGCUUAAACUCCUUUCUCUAGAACCACAGAAGCCAAAUACACCGCUGACCGAGUAACAGGCCUACAGAGUAUUCACAGUAAAGAUUGCAGCAUUCCAAACAACAAGAAAGGAAUUAAAAAGAUAGUGUGUUCUAUGCCUACAUGGACGGGACUUUGGCUAGCUUCUUGUUGAAGCAGUUUGGACAUUUGAAAGAUACUACAACUCCAGG